UACUUAUCGCGACCAACUAUUUUUCCGGUCGUUAAACUUAAUUUUCUAAUAAACAAUAGCGAGAAAAUAAUAUCCCAUCGUUAAAAAGUGCAACAUCCGGUUGUUAAAUUACAUUGAAGAAAACAAAAAACCGCCAAACUUUUCCCCUCUUGUUUUCUAAUUCCCGCCUUUGCCCACCCACUCCCUUAAAAGAAAAAAAGAAAAAGAAAAACCCUAGACCAAAUAAAAUGACAGCGAUUCCGACUGCUACUUCGUCACUCACUCCGAUCGCUUUCUCUAUUUGUUCGCUUGACACAAAGCUCCGGUGAAGGAACCAUGGUCCAUGGACUCAAAUUUCUGAAAGCGCAAAAUGUUUUGUCAGACAAAUGCUGGAAUGAGACCCUAAAAAGCGGUUAAGAGUCCAACAGGUUCUUGGUAAGGUUUUUUCAACAUAAAAAUUGUGAGAUUCUGAUUAAUUCAGGCUUCCCUGUUACGUAGAAAACUAUGUGUCGACAAAGAGAUGAUUUGAGAUGGUGCACCCUUAUUUUUCAAGUCGAGGAUUGAGGACCCAUAGUGGUACUUAAGGUUAGAGGAGAAAGAAGAAAUAUGCGGGUGUGGUUUGGAAUUUAUCAAUCGAAAGCAUUGGGAUUUUUUUUUUUUUAAUUGAUGCAGCUUUAUUUACAAGGCGUCUCACCUAUAGAAUACUUUCUUAGUACUCUGGAGAAGAAAUACUCUUCACCAGCAAUGUCUAGAGAGGAGAGGCUUUCCCGAAGGAUAGCUUGACUUUAAUUUCAUGGAUCCAACAUUCAGACUAGGUAAAUGAUGUGCUUUAUGUGAUUUUGUUACGAAGCUACACCUCUAAGGUGGCGUAAUUUUCCCGUAACAAUUCAUUUUCUUUUGGAAGGUGCUGCUUUUUACCAAUUAAGAGCUCGCUGUCACUAUGUUCGUGAUCUCAGAAAUGCUCUAGAGUCUGGAUUUUUGACUUACUCUAUUCUGUUACACGCUUCAAAGAUCAAGAAUCCAAAUUCUAAAGAGCUCGUCUUGGAAGAAGGUGCAAAGCAAGUUGAAGCAAACGAAAGUAUUAGAGAACGCGUUGAAGAAACGAAUAUGUUAAAUAGGUUGAAGCAGCAAAGGAACAUGUUUGCUGCUUCAUUAGAGAUUAGUUAAAGAUGUUCGCAUUUGUGCAUGCUACAAUAAUAAUUGCUCUUUUGUUAAGAGUUGACAAUAGAAUGUUAAACAAUUUGGAUGUAUAUACAUUAUGGUUGUGGAAGCUAUGAAUUGUUUUAUGAAGAUUGUUAUUUUCUUG